rnacentral:rRNA from 1 species
GACGAACGCUGGCGGCGUGCUUAACACAUGCAAGUCGAACGGAAAGGCCUGCUUUCCCUUGUGGAUUGCGGGUACUCGAGUGGCGAACGGGUGAGUAACACGUGAGUGAUCUGCCCCCAACUUGGGUAUAAGCCUGGGAAACUGGGUCUAAUUCCCGAUAGGACUGCAGGGUGGCGCCUGUGGUGGAAAACGAUUUUCUGUGGUUGGGGAUGAGCUCGCGGCCUAUCAGCUUGUUGGUGGGGUAAUGGCCUACCAAGGCGGCGACGGGUAGCCGGCCUGAGAGGGUGGACGGCCACAUUGGGACUGAGAUACGGCCCAGACUCCUACGGGAGGCAGCAGUGGGGAAUAUUGCACAAUGGGCGGAAGCCUGAUGCAGCGACGCCGCGUGGGGGAUGACGGCCUUCGGGUUGUAAACUCCUUUCGACCGCGAGGAAGCCACCUGGUUGGAAGGGUGGUGACGGUAGUGGUAGAAGAAGCACCGGCUAACUACGUG